rnacentral:rRNA from 1 species
CUACGGGAGGCAGCAGUGGGGGAUAUUGCGCAAUGGGAGAAACCCUGACGCAGCGACGCCGCGUGAGCGAAGAAGGCCUUCGGGUCGUAAAGCUCAGUCAUUGGGGAUGAAAAGGACAGUACCCAAAGAGGAAGCCCCGGCUAACUACGUGCCAGCAGCCGCGGUAAUACGUAGGGGGCGAGCGUUGUCCGGAAUUACUGGGUGUAAAGGGCGUGUAGGCGGGGGUACAAGUUACCGGUAAAAACCCGAGGCUUAACUUCGGGCUUGCCGGUAAAACUGUAUCUCUUGAGUGUAGGAGAGGGAAUCGGAAUUCCCGGAGUAGCGGUGAAAUGCGUAGAUACCGGGAGGAACACCAGUGGCGAAGGCGGAUUCCUGGCCUACAACUGACGCUGAGGCGCGAAAGCUGGGGUAGCAAACGGGAUUAGAUACCCCGGUAGUCCCAGCUGUAAACGAUGGUCACUAGGUGUGGGUGGUGGUCAAGCCAUCCGUGCCGGAGUUAACGCAAUAAGUGACCCACCUGGGGAGUACGACCGCAAGGUUGAAACUCAAAGGAAUUGACGG